CGCAGCUAUCUGCAGUCGAGGGGCAGCGCAGUGUAGCAAUACAUGGGCGGCGACCGGCAAACGGGUGCGGAACACGUACGCAACCUUCCCAAAACUGGAGAAUAGCCUUUCGAAAGAGAGAUUAAUACUCCGUAACUUAAUGAAGUGGCAUCACUUUAUUAAUAUAGUUCCGACGGUUUUGGAUGGGCGUGCGGCUGAUUAGGUAGUUGGCGGGGUAAUAGCCCACCAAGCCUACGAUCAGUAACUGGUGUGAGAGCACGACCAGUCACACGGGCACUGAGACACGGGCCCGACUCCUACGGGAGGCAGCAGUAAGGAAUAUUGGUCAAUGGACGCAAGUCUGAACCAGCCAUGCCGCGUGGAGGAUGAAGGUCCUCUGGAUUGUAAACUUCUUUUAUCGGAGAAGAAACCCUAGCAUUCUUGCUGGGUUGACGGUACCCGAUGAAUAAGCACCGGCUAACUCCGUGCCAGCAGCCGCGGUAAUACGGAGGGUGCAAGCGUUAUCCGGAUUCACUGGGUUUAAAGGGUGCGUAGGUGGGUUGAUAAGUCAGUGGUGAAAUCUCCGGGCUUAACUCGGAAACUGCCGUUGAUACUAUCAGUCUUGAAUGUUGUGGAGGUAAGCGGAAUAUGUCAUGUAGCGGUGAAAUGCUUAGAUAUGACAUAGAACACCGAUAGCGAAGGCAGCUUGCUACACAAUUAUUGACACUGAGGCACGAAAGCGUGGGGAUCAAACAGGAUUAGAUACCCUGGUAGUCCACGCCCUAAACGAUGGAUACUCGACAUAUGCGAUACACAGUAUGUGUCUGAGCGAAAGCAUUAAGUAUCCCACCUGGGAAGUACGACCGCAAGG
rnacentral:rRNA from 1 species